rnacentral:rRNA from 1 species
GACGAACGCUGGCGGCGUGCCUAAUACAUGCAAGUAGAACGCUGAAGGAGGAGCUUGCUUCUCUGGAUGAGUUGCGAACGGGUGAGUAACGCGUAGGUAACCUGCCUGGUAGCGGGGGAUAACUAUUGGAAACGAUAGCUAAUACCGCAUAAUAGUAGAUGUUGCAUGACAUUUACUUAAAAGGUGCAAUUGCAUCACUACCAGAUGGACCUGCGUUGUAUUAGCUAGUUGGUGGGGUAACGGCUCACCAAGGCGACGAUACAUAGCCGACCUGAGAGGGUGAUCGGCCACACUGGGACUGAGACACGGCCCAGACUCCUACGGGAGGCAGCAGUAGGGAAUCUUCGGCAAUGGACGGAAGUCUGACCGAGCAACGCCGCGUGAGUGAAGAAGGUUUUCGGAUCGUAAAGCUCUGUCGUAAGAGAAGAACGAGUGUGAGAGUGGAAAGUUCACACUGUGACGGUAUCUUACCAGAAAGGGACGGCUAACUACGUGCCAGCAGCCGCGGUAAUACGUAGGUCCCGAGCGUUGUCCGGAUUUAUUGGGCGUAAAGCGAGCGCAGGCGGUUAGAUAAGUCUGAAGUUAAAGGCUGUGGCUUAACCAUAGUACGCUUUGGAAACUGUUUAACUUGAGUGCAAGAGGGGAGAGUGGAAUUCCAUGUGUAGCGGUGAAAUGCGUAGAUAUAUGGAGGAACACCGGUGGCGAAAGCGGCUCUCUGGCUUGUAACUGACGCUGAGGCUCGAAAGCGUGGGGAGCAAACAGG